AGAGUGGCGAACGGGUGAGUAACACGUAGGUGACCUGCCUCGAAGACGGGGAUAACCACUGGAAACGGUGGCUAAUACCCGAUGGUCUUGACGAUUCGGUUCGUUGAGUAAAGCUCCGGCGCUUCAAGAGGGACCUGCGGCCCAUCAGCUAGUUGGUAGGGUAAUGGCCUACCAAGGCGAAGACGGGUAGGGGGCGUGAGAGCGCGGCCCCCCACACUGGCACUGAGACACGGCCCAG
rnacentral:rRNA from 1 species